CAGUGCAGGUGGUGUGAGGCAGUGGAAGAGAGAGGGGCCACCUUCAGAGUGAAAGUGGGAGACAGCAUCUCGUUUCCUGUCUCGCCUGAAUCUGACCACAUCUACACUGUUCACCGCUUUCUUAAAAGAUUUGCAGUAUUGGGAUGGCAUCAUCGAUCAUUAGUUGAUGUUAAAGAGCCAUAUAAGGGAAGGGUUAGCAUUGACAAUGAAUCAAUAUGGCUGCAUAAACUAAACCUAUCAGAUUCUGGUCCUUAUGAAGUUAGAACUGUCUUGAUAUCUGGCGGAUCUAUGCAACUGUACACAGACUUUCACGUGCAGGUUUUUGAGCCCGUCUCUAAACCCAACAUCACAGCAGAGUGCCUGGGGAAUAAUGUCAGUCUGAGCUGCUUCAGUCAGGGGACGAAUGUGACUUACAGCUGGGAAACUCUGCCCCCCUGUGGUGAUGACAGCUGUGUGCACCUGGGCCAAACUAUACACCCCCUCCCUCCCUCCACAACGUUCACAUGCACCGCCUAUAACCCUGUCAGCAAAGCCUCCUCUGUUUCUACACAUCUGGAAAAGUGCUCCACCCGAAGAUUACAAGGAGGAUGGAUUCCAGCCAUAUCAAUUUUCAUUGUCUUCGGAGUACUACCAGUACUACUGCUGUACAUGAGGGAAAAGUG